UAGGUUGUAAAUCAUGAUUGAACAAUAUCAAAAUUGAAUAAUCUUUCCGAUUUUAUGUGUUAUUUCAUUUGUUCAUGCUCAAAACUAGAAUAAAUCGAUGUUGAAUGUAAAACCACCUUUGGUGAUCUUGGUCACACUGUUUCACUAGAUGUAAUGGUUUUCAAAAACAAGACCGAGUCGGCGUCUGAAACGUUCACCAAAAUAUGCAAAAAUGCUGACAUUAUAAGGUGUCAAAGUAUCAAAGCUCAUCUAAUGGGGGAACAUUGUCAAUUUUGCUUCCGAAUCCGAAAGUUGGCAUUUUGGGUACCAAUCAACUCCGAACAAAAAACAUUGAUGCUCGGUAAACAUGGUGGUGAUGGGUUCGCAAAAGAUCUUAAUCAAAAUGAAAAUUCUAUUUUCUUCCCAAGUAUGCAUGUUUUAUUGCAGUUUCGGUGCUAUAAGUUAUAUAUUUUUGGUCUAUAAUGUAUCAGCCUCCUUGCUGUUUGAGGUCACACUGUAACAGUCAGUGGCAUAUUACUAAAAAAUAAGACCGAGUCGGCAUCUAUUGAGGGUACUAUAUGUAACAGAAUUUAAUUUUCUAUCUGAUGUUAUAAGUUUCAAAACAUGACUAAUGGGGGAACAUUACGAAAUUCGAUGUUAAAAACUGCUGACCACGAUUAUACACCCACAGCUGCUCACGGUUUCGUGUACUGCAAAUGCUGCUAAUAUAGUUCUGACGCUAGCAGACGCACGUUUUUGCAUUCAAUUGGCUGCCACGGCGUUCCAUGUGAUGAUAGAGAACAUCCCUGGUUUUCGACUUUUGUGUGUUGUGUAUAUUUGUUUAUUAGGCACAUUUCAAUUCAAAUUUGAAUUUGGUUCUCUCACUUCUGUGGGUCUUGGAGUUAUGGAUAUAUUUUGUGGAGCGCGGAGCAUCGGGGAUUUGUGGAGUAUUGGAUUGGCGUUUUCUUGGUGUUUUUUUUUUAAAGAUAUUUUCAUAGGCUACAAUGCCACCAGGAAGACCAAGACCAAGACAGUGCUCAUGCCCGAAUCAUCGGCAACACAGGAUGGCAAACUUCGCCUCCCCUGGCUUGUAUGAAGCCUUGAUUUCCAUUUAAGGAAACUGUCCGCCAGUGGACGGAGGCCCGGCGACGGACGCUGGCUCAAUGGCCAACAGUGGCACGCCCGCCGGCUGAUGGUGGCUCGCCGACCGACGCCGGCCCGUCGGCUAACCACGGCCUUCCGGCUGAUGGUGGCCCGCCAGCCGACGGAGGUCCGCCGGCCAUUCGUGGCACGCCCGCCGACGGCAGCUCGACGACACGUCCUGGCUAUGUCACCCCCAAGAUUACUUCGCCCCCCAGUCCCUAGGCCACCAGUUGCGGGCGCUCCAUCUGACGGUGUCGUCCGACGGCUCCACGGUGACCACAGCGCCGCCACUGCGGAAACCAUCCGACCCCGAAAAUGCUGCUAGCCGUACACGAACAAAGGGCGCCGGGCACCCAGGACCAGCGCCCUGCUCCGAGGCGGUGUCCAAAGAAGGCUGCACAGUGCACUUGCUGUGCUAAGGCAUAGUGCCCGCUGACUGAUAGGAACAAAUGACGGUUAUCAGAUUUCAGUAUGGAACUCAAGAUGGUCGGAGCCGACCUGGCUCGGUGGAUGGUGUGCCAGGGUUGAUUAAGUGUCGAAAGGAGUGAGACGCCCAGAUAU
rnacentral:lncRNA from 1 species